CCCUUAGAUGUUCUGGGCCGCACGCGUGCUGCACUGAGUGGAUCAGCGGGUCAGGUUGCGCGAAAGUGUUUCCUAAUCUUGAAAUCCGCUCGUGAUGGGGAUUGACGGUUGCAAUUUUCCGUCAUGAACGAGGAAUACCUUGUAAGCGCGGGUCAUCAUCCCGCGCUGAAUACGUCCCUGCCCUUUGUACACACCGCCCGUCGCUCCUACCGAUUGAGUGGUCCGGUGAGGCUUUGGGAUCUGAGCGGAAAGAGCGUUUCGCUGUUUCUGCUCGGAAAACUCAGUCGAACCUUAUCAUUUAGAGGAAGGAGACGUCGUAACA
rnacentral:rRNA from 1 species